rnacentral:lncRNA from 1 species
AGAGCUCCUGGAAGUAGAUGACUGAGAAAAUGACAUGAGUUCAGUGGCGCACACUCACAUGAGUUAGCUAUGUUCCUUUUCUUUUUUGAAGACAUUGGAAUUGUCCGGUUGGAAUAUUACUGAAGAUUUAUGAUAAAAGCAUCCUAAAGAUUGAUGCUAUACAUCGUUUGACAUGUUUCUACGAACCUUUCAAAACAGCAUCAGACCAAACACUACUCACUCAGUUCCAGGUUGGUGUAACGGCUGUCUUCGUCGUCCUCAGAUGAAGGGGAAGAGAAAUCAGACCAAAAUGCAGCGUGUGGGGCUUCACACAUCCAGAUAAAGAGAAAGAGGAAAAAGGAGAGAGAGAGGAGAGGAAAGAAGAGAGAGAGAAGAAGGAGAGAGAGAGAGAUGUUUGCCAAGACUCUAAAGGACAUGACACUUGGUAGACAAACACCCCAAGCCGCACUUGACACAGGACAGAUGAUCACCCACUGCAACACCAAGGAGCCCCAGGCCCCCUCAACA